rnacentral:rRNA from 1 species
AACGUAGGAGACAAACGUUAUCCGGAGUUACUGGGCGUAAAGGGCGUGUAGGUGGUUGCGUAAGUCUGGCGUGAAAUUUUUCGGCUUAACCGGGAAAGGUCGUCGGAUACUGCGUAACUAGAGGACGGUAGAGGCGUGUGGAAUUCCCGGUGUAGCGGUGAAAUGCGCAGAUAUCGGGAAAGAACACCCGUGGCGAAGGCGGUUCUCUGGGACGGUACUGGACGCUGAGACGCGAAAGCGUGGGGAGCGAACAGG